AGAGUUUGAUCCUGGCUCAGAACGAACGUUGGCGGCGUGGAUUAGGCAUGCAAGUCGAACGCGAACGUCGGGCUUCGGCCUGGCUAGUAGAGUGGCGAACGGGUGAGUAGCGCGUGGGCAAUCUACCCUCGAGUGGGGAAUAACCAUUCUAACGAGUGGCUAAUACCGCAUGUCGCCGUUACCUCGCAUGGGGUUUCGGUGAAAGCUGGGGAUCUUCGGACCUGGCGCUUGAGGAGGAGCCCGCGUCCCAUUAGCUUGUUGGUAGGGUAACGGCCUACCAAGGCAACGAUGGGUAGCCGAUCUGAGAGGAUGACUGGCCACAUUGGGACUGAGAUACGGCCCAGACUCCUACGGGAGGCAGCAGUCGAGAGGCUUUGGCAAUGGGGGAAACCCUGACCAAGCGACGCCGCGUGCGGGAAGAAGGCUUUCGGGUCGUAAACCGCUGUCAGGAGGGAAGAAUCCCCUCGGGCCAAUACCCCGGGGGUUGACGGUACCUCCAGAGGAAGCUCCGGCUAACUCCGUGCCAGCAGCCGCGGUAAUACGGAGGGAGCAAACGUUGUUCGGAUUUACUGGGCGUAAAGGGCGUGUAGGCGGUUUGGCAAGUCAGAGGUGAAAUGUCCCGGCUCAACCGGGGACCUGCCUUUGAAACUACCGAACUUGAGGCCGUGAGAGGAGACUGGAAUUCCUAGUGUAGCGGUGAAAUGCAUAGAUAUUAGGAAGAACACCAGUGGCGAAGGCGAGUCUCUGGCACGGUUCUGACGCUGAUGCGCGAAAGCUAGGGGAGCGAACGGGAUUAGAUACCCCGGUAGUCCUAGCCGUAAACGAUGGGUACUAGGUGUUGGCCGAUCGACCCGGUCAGUGCCGCAGCUAACGCAUUAAGUACCCCGCCUGGGGAGUACGAUCGCAAGAUUGAAACUCAAAGGAAUUGACGGGGGCCCGCACAAGCGGUGGAGCAUGUGGUUUAAUUCGACGCAACGCGAAGAACCUUACCCAGGCUUGACAUCCUAGGGACAGCCCCAGAAACGGGGUCUUCCUUCGGGAUCCUAGGACAGGUGCUGCAUGGCUGUCGUCAGCUCGUGUCGUAAGAUGUUGGGUUAAGUCCCGCAACGAGCGCAACCCUUGCCCUUAGUUGCCAGCGGUUCGGCCGGGCACUCUAAGGGGACUGCCCCGGAAAACGGGGAGGAAGGUGGGAUGACAUCAAGUCCUCAUGGCCCUUACGCCUGGGGCUACACACGUGCUACAAUGGUCGGUACAGAGGGUUGCAAUGCCGCGAGGUGGAGCCAAUCCCAACAAGCCGGCCUCAGUUCGGAUUGCAGUCUGCAACUCGACUGCAUGAAGUCGGAAUCGCUAGUAAUCGCGGAUCAGCAUGCCGCGGUGAAUACGUUCCCGGGCCUUGUAC
rnacentral:rRNA from 1 species